rnacentral:lncRNA from 1 species
GUGAUAGGCCUUGUUGGAGAGGCCCAAAGUUGAGGUUGAGCUCAAAGGGAGGUAUGCAAGAAAAAAAAGGUGUGAAUAAUAAUAUGUGUGGGGCAAGAGGCCUUGGGUCCAAAGCAACAUCAAUCCAAAGGAAGGGGGAGAAAUCGGUAGACUCAUCUCAUUCUUCAUUCAAACCUAAACACGUCCAUGAGUUACUCUCACCUGAAAAACAAACCUCGUCACGCCGAAAAUCGCCUAUGGCGGCGGUGAGGUCCAAACGCC